rnacentral:rRNA from 1 species
GAGUUGAUCAUGGCUCAGGAUGAACGCUAGCGACAGGCUAACACAUGCAAGUCGAGGGGCAGCAUAAAAGUAGCAAUACUUGGUGGCGACCGGCGCGACGGGUGAGUAACGCGUAUGCAACCUACCUAUCAGAGGGGAAGUAACCCGGCGAAAGUCGGACUAAUACCGCAUAAAACAGGGGCACCGCAUGGUGAUAUUUGUUAAAGAAAUUCGCUGAUAGAUGGGCAUGCGUUCCAUUAGGUAGUUAGUGAGGUAACGGCUCACCAAGCCGACGAUGGAUAGGGGAACUGAGAGGUUGGUCCCCCACACUGGUACUGAGACACGGACCAGACUCCUACGGGAGGCAGCAGUGAGGAAUAUUGGUCAAUGGGCGAGAGCCUGAACCAGCCAAGUCGCGUAGGAAGGAAGAAGGAUCUAUGGUUACGUAACUUCUUUUGCGAGGGGAAUAAAGUGCAGGACGUGUCCUGUUUUGUAUGUACCCUGAGAAUAAGGAUCGGCUAACUCCGUGCCAGCCGCCGC